AUUGAACGCUGGCGGCAUGCCUUACACAUGCAAGUCGAACGGUAACGCGGGGGCAACCCUGGCGACGAGUGGCGAACGGGUGAGUAAUACAUCGGAACAUAUCCAGUAGCGGGGGAUAACCUAUCGAAAGAUGGACUAAUACCGCAUACGAUCUACGGAUGAAAGCAGGGGACCGCAAGGCCUUGCACUAUUGGAGUGGCCGAUGUCGGAUUAGCUAGUUGGUGAGGUAAAGGCUUACCAAGGCGACGAUCCGUAGCUGGUCUGAGAGGACGAUCAGCCACACUGGAACUGAGACACGGUCCAGACUCCUACGGGAGGCAG
rnacentral:rRNA from 1 species